AGGUUACCGCCGAGAGGCCGCGUCCUCAGCUGGUCCUAGACAUGCGUGGCGUCGGGGCUGUGGCACGGUCGGGUCCGGGGACACUUGUUUAACAAGACAUCUGCCCAUGUCCCUGGCCCAUCUCAUUGGCUGCAGCACAUCACAGUGGACCUUCUGCCUCCUCCCAGAUGCCCAGGGACAGUGAUCUGGAAGGAAGGGGCUUGAGGCUGUUUUCCUAGAACUCGACUUGAAUGCACCAAGGAAAGGCCAUUUGUGGGGACAUAGCAAGAAGGCAGCUGUCUGCAAGCCAGGAGGAGAACCCUCACCAGAAACCUCACAGAAAUCGGCCAACACCCUCAUCUCGGGCUUCCAGCUUCAGAACAACGAGAAAACAAAUUUCUGUUGUGUCCUGGUUCCCAUUUGUAAUUGGCACCCUAAUGAAACCGUUUUCUGUAGCCCUGGAAAUGGCUGAAAAUGAGGGGAGGGAAAUAAAGUGCUAUAAUUCAGAGCAUGGAGCACACCUUCCUGGUUCACCUGAGCUGGAUUCGGAGAGGUAAAAUGGCCAUUACCUCGUCUAAGCUGCCACUUACAGACACAGUACAGGAUGAGGCCCAGACCCACAGAGACAACGAUGAUGGCCACAGCUAAGAUGAUCCAGAAAUUAUUCCUCCACCAGCUCAUUGCAGUGGAAUCCUGAGAAGAAUGGAGAGAGAAGAAUGAGGUUAUGCUGUGGUGUCGCCUUUUGUUACCAUCAAACCUCCAAUAAAACUGCAUAACACGGCCAGGUGCGGUGGCUCACGCCUGUAAUCCCAGCACUUUGGGAGGCUGAGGAGGGCAGAUCACUUCAGGUCAGGAGUUCAAGACCAGCCUGGCCAACAUGGCGAAACCCUGUCUCUACUAAAAAUACAAAAAUUAGCUGGGUGUGGUGGCACAUGCCUGUAGUCCCAGCUACUCAGGAGGCUGAGGCGGGAGAAUUGCUUAAAGCCAGGAAGCAGAGGUGGCAGUAAGCCGAGAUCACGCCACUACAUUCCAGCCUGGACAACAGAGCAAGACUCCAUCUCAAAACAAAAGCAAAGGCUGGGUGCAGUGGCUCACGCCUGUAAUCUCAUAACUUUGGGUGGCUGAGGCAGGCGGAUCACAUGAGGUCAGGAGUUCGAAACCAGCUUGGCCAUCAUGGUGAAACCCCUUCUCUACUAAAAAUACAAAAAAUUAGCUGGGCAUGGUGGUGCACGCCUGUAAUCCCAGCUACUUGAGAGACUGAGGCAAGAGAAUUGCUUGAACCUGGGAGUCAGAGGUUGCGGUGAGCCGAGGUUGUGCCAUUGCACUCCAGCCUGGGCAACAAGAGCGAGAUUCCAUCUGAAAAAAAAAAAAAAACACCGAUCUCAAAGAGGGAGUUGUGAGAACCCCAACUUGAAGCUGGUUGCUCUCAAGUUCCAGAGGCCCGGACUUGCGACUGACGUCUGGGGAGUUGGGGGCAGCAGUCUUGGGAACUGAGCUGUGAGAUCUGAUACUAUCUCUGGGUCUAUAGUGCUGGCAUUGAAUUGGAGAACACCCAGCUGGUGUUCACUGCUUGGUGUGUGGCGGAAAAACCCUCACACAUUUGGUCACAGAAGCCCUUUUCUGUGUUGGUGAUUGUUGUGCUGGUGUGAGAACAGAGGAAAAACACCGCUUGCAGAGUUUUUCCUGAAACAAUACUCUUUAGAGCGAUAGAAAUAAAUACCACGACCUGCGCAUUCAAAGCUGUUGUAUCUGGAUUGUGACUGCGUGGAAGGUCGAGGCGGGAAGACAGGGGCUGUUGCUUUUCGUUAUAAACUCUGCAUUACUUGAUUUUUGCACUACGUACAUUUACUUUGAUAACACUGGAAAGAAUAAAUUGGCCAUGUAGUGUAGCUUCCAAAAAAAACUAUUGCUUGGGUUUCAAGGUCAAGGAAAUUUCAUUCUCAUCAGUUUCUUGGGAAAGAGGAAGUGGAAUGAUGUUGUCAGAAAGUGAAACCAUGGGUCAUUUUCAGAACUACUCAGAGUAAUAAAUAUUUUUUGUCAGUUUUGUUCUUACAAGUGAAAUGGACCGCAGAGAGGCACUUUUUCUUUUCUUUUUUCUUUCUUUCUUUUUUUUUUUUUUGAGAUGAAGUCUCGCUCUUGUACCCCAGGCUGGAGUGCGAUGGCGUGAUCUCGGCUCACUGCACCCUCCACCUCUCCAGUUCAAGC
rnacentral:lncRNA from 1 species